CGAGCGCAUGAGUUGUGCUGGACCUGUGACUACCGGUUGGACCCCCGUUGUUGUGCGGCCGACUGCCGGUGCCAGUGUCCCUUCAAUCGUUGCCUUUUGUGACGCUAUCGUUAUGACGAGUGCUUGCAUGCUGCUACCAGUAACACUGGAAGUUGCAUUGCUAAAAAUGUUGGUUUUGCCGUGCAUGGCCAUUGGUCAUGUCACGUCAACUAUAAGCGUUCAUGUCGUUGCCUCGUGUAGCCGGCCGGAUAGGCUGGCAGCAUCAAGGCCGCCUCAUGGUCGCUAUUGGUCUCGGAUGUGGCUAACUUUGAAGGCUGAAGGUGCAUUGGCACCACAUGCCUACAAUAGUCCGGUUGGAAACAACGACAGUUGGCCUGGCUGAUGCCUCGUGCGGAAGCUAGUGCU
rnacentral:misc_RNA from 1 species